AUUGAACGCUGGCGGCAGGCCUAACACAUGCAAGUCGAGCGAGCGGCGGACGGGUGAGUAAUGUAUGGGAAACUGCCCGAUAGAGGGGGAUAACUACUGGAAACGGUGACUAAUACCGCAUACUAUCGGAUGUACCCAGAUGGGAUUAGCUAGUAGGUUGGGUAAUGGCUCACCUAGGCGACGAUCGCUAGCUGGUCUGAGAGGAUGACCAGCCACACUGGAACUGAGACACGGCCCAGACUCAUACGGGAGGCAGAAUUGGGGAAUAUUGCACAAUGGGCGCAAGCCUGAUGCAGCCAUGCCGCGUGUGUGAAGAAGGCCUUAGGGUUUUAAAGUACUUUCAGCGGGGAGGCGUUACCCGCAGAAGAAGCACCGGCUAACUCCGGGCCAGCAGCCGCGGUAAUAC
rnacentral:rRNA from 1 species